rnacentral:rRNA from 1 species
CGCUCAAUGAAAAACUUUUAUAUUGAGUCGAACCUGCCCAGUGAUUCUAAUUUAACGGCCGCAGUACUCUGACUGUGCAAAGGUAGCAUAAUCAUUUGCCUUAUAAUUGAAGGCUAGUAUGAAUGGUUUGACAAGAAUAAAGCUGUCUCUUAUAGAUUUUAUAGAAUUUGGUUUCUAGGUGAAGAAACCUAGAUAUAAUUAAAAGACAAGAAGACCCUAUCGAGCUUAAAAUAAUUUUUUUGUUAUAGUGAUAAUAUCACAUUCGAAAAAAGAUUUUGGUUGGGGCGACUAAGGAACACAAAAAGCUUCCUAUAAAAAAUAACUACUUUUAAGUUUUGAUCCAAAAAAUUUGAUUAACAGAAUUAGUUACCGUAGGGAUAACACCAUAAUCU